rnacentral:misc_RNA from 1 species
CAUAUAAUGCAAACAAAAGAACUUGGCACCUGCCCAGUACGGCAGAUUGGAGGUUGCUCUUUCUUUUACAUGAGAAUUAGCAAUGUCUACAUUGUGAUUGUUGUCAGCAGCAAUGCUAAUGUGGCUUUUGCAUUCAAGUUUGUCGUUGAGGCUGUUACAUUGUUUAAAUCAUACUUUGGUGGGGCUUUUGAUGAAGAUGCCAUCAGAAAUAAUUUUGUCCUGAUUUAUGAGCUGUUGGAUGAAAUCAUGGACUUUGGUUACCCACAAAAUCUGUCUCCUGAGAUUUUAAAGCUUUACAUCACUCAGGAAGGAGUGCGCUCACCGUUUUCAUCCAAGCCUACAGAUAAACCCGUUCUUAAUGCAACGUUGCAAGUCACAGGUGCUGUUGGUUGGCGGAGAGAGGGCCUUGUUUAUAAAAAGAAUGAGGUUUUUCUUGAUAUUGUGGAAAG